UACGUAAGGACCGAGCGUUGUCCGGAAUCAUUGGGCGUAAAGGGUACGUAGGCGGUUAGAAAAGUUAGAAGUGAAAGGCUAUAGCUCAACUAUAGUAAGCUUUUAAAACUGUUUAACUUGAGAGAUGGAAGGGAAAGUGGAAUUCCUAGUGUAGCGGUGAAAUGCGCAGAUAUUAGGAGGAAUACCGGUGGCGAAGGCGACUUUCUGGUCUGUAACUGACGCUGAUGUGCGAAAGCGUGGGGAUCAAACAGG
rnacentral:rRNA from 1 species